GCUUUGCUGCUCGUGUGAAGUAGCCUCGUCUCAACCCCUCGUAAGAACCACCCCGUGGCGAGGUGACGUCUAGCGGCGAAAUAAGGAACGAACGAGUGGAGAAAAGGAAUUUUGUGUGACGUUAAGUCCGUAUGAAACCCACGUCGUUGCGCCGGCUAUAGCGUCCGGAUUUUGCACAACAAUGCAACUGGGAUUUGCACUGCGAACGAGUUUUUACUGUCAUCAGUCAUCAGGCAAACGGUCGACGGGGGUGAGCACAGAGCGGAGCAGCCAGAGCCGUACUUUUAAGCACAAGAGUGGGGGUUCUGGAUCAAUGCCGAGGCCACGCCUCCUUCGUCUUACAUCUUGCACCCCGUGUCACCCCCCCGAGCACCGUGGGCACCUUCCUUUCCUUUUGCUUUUCCACCC